AUUAAUAUAAAUCUAAAACACGUAGAAACCAACUUCUACAGAUUUACUAUAAAUCUAAAACAUGUAGAAAUCAAAAUCUAAACAUUACUAUAAUUCUAAAAAACUGUAGAAACCGAUUUCUACAUAUUAGUUAUAUUCUACGGAUAAGAAAUCAGUUCCUAAAAAUAUGGAAACAAAAUAUUUGGGAAUAUUCACUUUUAUAUUUUGAAAAAAAAAUCGAUUUUUUUUAAAAAAAAUAAAAAAAACGAAAAAGGAACAAAAAAAUAAAAAAAUAAAAAUAAAAAAUAAAAAAUUACAAUUUUAAGGGCAUUACUGUCAUUUUGAAAAAAAUUGGUCUAAUGAGACAUAAAGUAGUAUAGAUUAGUAUAAAGGGACAUAGUUACCAUUUUUUUGCUCUAAAAAAACAAUUUUCCCAAUUUUAUUUAAGGGUUAUGUAAGUAAAGGUGUAUAAGGGGGGCAAGCUUCCUUCCUAGAUGAUAAUAAAGGAUAGCGCAGGUUAACGAGAUGAGGUGGAAAGUAAGUUAGCACAGAGGAAUGUGACAGUUUUAUGCGCAAGAUAGCAUAGAAAAGGUAGAGAUAAAGUCAAUCAGUG
rnacentral:lncRNA from 1 species